AAAGUCCUUGAGUUUAUAAAGAAGUGCUUCAAAGUCCUUAAAUUGUUCUUGCUUUAGUGGAUAUUUUCUGAAAUUGUUUCGUAUUAGGAAUUGGACAUUUUGUUAAUUGAGUUUGUUCAUGUUUACAUCCAAGGUCAAUGAAAUUAAUUAAAGUUGCCGUUUGUAGAGUUUAACGUUACUUUUUACUGAUUUCUAAUGCCUUCUUUUCAGCCCUUUAGUCCUUGAAUUUCCUGAUAUACUGUAUGGCCUUGAAAGUCCCUGAAAAGUCCUUGAAUGUAACUCUUCCUGACCUGUGCGAACCUUGUUUACCCUGUCUGACUUCAGGUGACUUUACUUGUCAAGGGGAGAGUCUCUCAAUGGGUUGAAUUAAGUUUAUACUGUAAUUCUUUCAAAUAUUUUAUUUUAAUUUUAUAGAUGGGUAUAAGAUGUCUGUCAACUGUUCUAUCUAUUGAUUUCAAACCUUCAGAAGUUGAAGUUGGCAUUGUCACAACAGAUCUCCCUA
rnacentral:lncRNA from 1 species